AUAGUGUAUGUAUAUUUCUUGAAUUUUUUUUCGAAAAUGCUAUUAAUUUGUAUUUGUAAUAAAUAAUAAUAUGUAAGUAAUCAACUUUCGUUAGUUCGAAACCUUAAAAAUUGUAAAAUAAUAAUUAUAGGCAAUUGACAAUUAACGCUAAAUUUAUACCAUCAUUAUUUAUUUGAAAAGUCUAUACGAAGCCGCUACGAUGACCGUACAAAUCCAGGAUAGCCAGUCUAGACCUAUCAAGCUUUAGCGGGAUGUCCGACAGGGAGAUGUUAUAUCUCCAAAACUGUUCACCGCUGCAUUUCAAGAUGUCUUCAAGACGCCGGAAAACACGCGGAAUCAACGUCAACAGAGAGUACAUCUCGCACCUUCGAUUUGCCGAUGACAUAGCCAUAAUAUCGGAAUCGCUGGAGGACCUCAGUCGUAUGCUCAACGAUCUCAAUGCCGCUUCCCAAUGCGUGGGACUGCGGAUGAACCUUGACAAGACGAAAGUCAUGUUCAGUGAUCAAAUCGUCCAGGGUCAAGUUACCAUCUCGAAUGCAGCCAUUGAAGAGAGUGUCUGGAGGCAGGACCAGUUACGGGAAGUAGACUCUGCAUGUGCCUUCGCAGCUUACAAUGUCCCGUUUGGGAUGAAUUCUUAGCUUACUCCGAGGCAGGUACGCAGAGAAUCAUUGGAAGCAAAUGCGUGGAGCCUUACUGACGGUGAGUUGUCACGAUUCCUCAGGGCCAUCAGAAAUACAGCUUAACUAAUAACUACUUUUUCAACCCUCGUUUGAAGAAGUACGUAUAAUACCGUACAGAACAGAGCUUAGAGGAAAGUUCGCUUCAGUAUCGGAUGGUAUAUGGAUUAUUUUCGAACUAACAUUCCGCCCGCAGCUUCGCUCACAUGAACAACAUUUUAGAAGUACGAUACGGACGGAUAUCCGUGCUCAGCAGUGGUAUUAAAGAAUCUACCACUGGAUCGGAAUCACGAUUAACUGAGAAAAUCCGGCGAGAAACUCAGUAGCUUGUGUCUAUGGAUUUACAAGGAAUCCAGUUAAAUGCUCGUCACGGAGCCCUGUUACCUGUAAGAGCCUACAUACCUUUUUGUGAACAAACAUAUUAUGUGCCUUCAAUUCAGAUACGGCUGUGGCAAUAUUUCAUGACACAGCGUUCGUUGCACAACUUAUUAAUCCGGUUCAAUACAAGAAGUUGCGUUUAAGGACGGAAUGGGCGGCAUUUUCACUGUGUCCCAAGGCGGAAUAGUCACUCCGGCCCUGCUUCACAUCAAAACAUACUUUUCACUACCUGAUGCGAGCUUCUCUUAUAAACCCUCGACGCGAAGGAGCAGAAUGAUUACCUUUCUCGAGUCCUCAUUGUAAUAGACACCGACCUUCAGCGGCGUGCGGCGAUUUCACGACUUUACACAAAGACUGUCAAGAAUAAUUAAAGACUCGGCGUAGGAAAGUUAUUAAAGUCAGCGGCGGCGACAGCGCGCGUGGGUGCGAUUGACUCGUCACCGGCUAUCGGCUCUCACUUAGCCGCAGAGCUUAAGCGCAAAGCCGCCGGCCGUGAACCGCCACAACUUACUGUUUUCCUACGCGAAUACUAUCACAACAGUCUAAAAUAUUUUUUUUCUAAUUCACACACUAUCAUCUGAUUUUAACUUUAUUAAAUAAAACGAAAUAAAGAUGAAAUGUGAAAUAAAUUCGAAUUUCGUCCAAAGCGCUGAAAAAACUGCUCUUGAUUGUAAAAUCGUUUUCGAGGUGGAGACGACACUGCACCUCUGCAAAUUUUUUUCAUAGGAGAAAAUCACCGGAUCCCAUCGGAUAUAUGGGAGUUGAAUCUCACCGAGAACUCAUGCCACUUGACCCGGACCGGACCGGAGCCCAGUCGGGGCCAUUGAGACGGCGGGACAGGGUUGAUGCAGAGCAUAUUACAUCCAUCCCGAUUCAUAAGUGGCACUGCUCAGGCCUUUAUCGCUCAAGACAAAGAGCCGCGUAAUUACCUUUCGUGCUGCGCCAAGAAUUUCAUUAAAAGCAGAUAAUGUUUUAAAUGAUCUUCUUGUGUGCUGUGGAAAAAAGUUUGGAGCUCGCUGUUUUGUGGUCAUUAUAAUAAAUAAAUAACUAUAUACAAAA